UUGAAGUCUUAUCGGGCUGGUUUUUGGUUUUGUGCUCAAACUUGAACACUAGAAGGAAGAUCAUGUGUUUGUGCUCAGUAGGACAUUUGGGUGGGGCUGCAGCUUAACUUUUAUAUUCCUAACUGGUUAUCAUCUUACACUGAAUUUCAGAGCAUGUAAUGGACUGACACAGUAAUGUAACAACACUGGCUACUGGGAGGCUGUUAGCACCCAUCCUAGCUAAUGCUAAUAACAUUCAUGACCUCAGGCAAGAUGAAGAGGAAGCAUGGGCUUGCUGGCAGGUAUUUUCCCACACAGGUGACUUUGAUAAGAUAAGGUAACUCUUUAUUAUCAUUGCACAGUCAUAAAUAGUAUAAUGAAACUGGAAAACUGUCCCAUGUCAGCACUAUGUACAACACGACACGGUAACUUAACUUGGCUGCAACUCCCCUGAAGUCUUCACCUGUAGGCAUGACUACUACAUUCACAAGAGUAUGUGUUGUUAUUGUUGCAGUGGAAGCAGGUGAACUUGGAAUUUAGGUGAAAGUUGAGGUAAAGAUGGCAGCAGCUGUGACUGCAGGCUAAAGCAGUAACUUGGCUCAUGUUGUCCUUUCAUAAGGCACUGAGUCAUCUUUUGAGCUUUGUGUUGCUCAGAGUCAUCUGAUGCUCAGGGGCAGCAGGUGGGAGGCGAGGGACUUGAAUUAAAGGCACGUGCAUUUUUUUUUUUUUUUUAAAUCUUUGUGAGAACAGUUGUUGGUAUAAUGUAUUCAUUAACCCCUCUAAUCCCAGCCUAAACCAGACUCUAUUAUGAAUCCUGAAACCGAGACCAAACUCGCAAAAAAGCGCUUUGAAGAUUUGAAGUCAGCACAGUCCAGACCCAUUCUUCUCUUUAAGAGGUUCAAGAUGAUACUUGUCCACAUAAGCAUACAAAACACACAAAAAGACAGGUGAGUUUGUCCACUUGUAAGGAACUUAGUCACUGUUACAUAAAACCUUGAAGCUGUGACAGCGGUGAGUCACGCUGACCCAAAUACUGAAGGAGGCAAACUCUGCUCAGUGAGUCAAAGCCCACAUCACAGUGACAGUGCACAAAUCUCUGUGUUACACCAGUGUUGCAGCAGAUGGAGUUUCUCUCUGUACCAGCAGAGGAUGCAAGAGACCAAAACAGUAUAAAGCCUUUACAUGCACCUCUGAGAGUAAACAUGCUUAAGUCUUAUUCUUUUUUCCUGUAAUUCCACCUCCGAUUCUUUGCGUUUGUCCUGUUUCACACUGUCCAACUCUGUUCUGAAUACCACAAUACUGAAAAUAAACUUAAGGUAUUAUAUAUGUUAAAAUAUACUCCUAAUGAUUAAACUACAUUUUAAUAGUGAGACAGUCUGUGAGCAGCACUUUAGAUCCUGUAAGUAAAAGUUAAAGCCACCCUGGUACCUCGUAUAUCCCACAGUAUUUAAUAUACUGUAUAUAACAUGAUCCUCCCAUCC
ensembl:lncRNA